CAUGAGGAUUGACCACUGAGUGGCCACCAAGGCAAACACUCUUCGAGUCCGAGACCGUCUAUACGCUUUCGCAUGGAAGCGUUGGUCCCUUCAGUUUCUUCAUCGCUGCUUCUUCCCACACUUCCAAACUCAAACCACACUCUCUUUAAAAUCGUACCCACAAAAUCCCAUCUUCUUAUUUCCCGAAAGAGGUGCACCCAUUUGAAUGGAAAUAGGAGAAUAUCAACAACCAGGAUUCCGGCGAUAAACGAUGUUUCGGCGGCGGCGGCGAGUCCAGCCGGGGUGGAGCUCACCUGGCAAAUAGUUGUCGGCGCAUUAGCUGGAGUUACACCCUUUGUGGUGCCAGGGAUAGAGUUCAGCAAAAGAAUUAUGGCACAGAGAAAAUGUGAGGUAUGUGGAGGGUCAGGGCUUGUUCUCAGAGACAAUAAGUACUAUUUUCGAUGCCCCGGAUGUGGAGGAUUUCUCCCAUGGCAGUCGUGGAAACGAUUCUUUUCUGGUUAGAGCUCGCCUAUUUUUAUGUCAAUAAUACGCAUUACUUCAAUGGCACAAUAUGAAUCCAGGAAAGAUCGCUUAUACAAGAUUAUCAACGUGGACAGCGCAGCCAAUUAUAUGUAAAUCGGUCCGCAUGUACGUAGGGAUAGGCGGCAAGGCUCUACACCCCGUUUGCCCGCCCUCCACAGCUCCACCCCACCCGCAUCUGUGAAAGGCAGUGGGGGCCUGGGCCAGGCCAGGCCCCGCACCUUCCCUGCACCCCAGCCUGCCCCUAUAGCCCAACUUAAAAUACUUGUAAUUAUAUAUAUAUAUAAGUCGUUAAUAAUACAAUGUUGUUUUGGGGUUAGGUUUAACCUAAAUCUAGCCUCCCCUCCCUCAGUAGUCUUUCUUUCUUUCUUUCCCUUCUCUUUCCUCUCUAGUUCUAUCCUCCCCCUCCGUUUACCCCUCGGUUAAACCGAGGUAGAAACCUUUCUAGUGAUAAGUUGUUGCUUGAAGUCUAAUCCCAUUACACGUUACUUUUUGUAUCUAUUAGGAAUAAAUUACCUUUUCUCUCACAAA